AACGCACAUUGCGCCCCUUGGUAUUCCGGGGGGCAUGCCUGUUCGAGCGUCAUUUCAACCCUCAAGCUUUGCUUGGUCUUGGGCUCUGCCGGCAACGGCUUGCCUUAAACGCAGUGGCGGUGCCAUUCGAGCUCUACGCGUAGUAAUAAACCCCUCGCGAUUGAGUCUUGGUGGAUGCUAGCCAGCAACCCCUUUAUUUUUUAUGGUUGACCUCGGAUCAGGUAGGGAUACCCGCUGAACUUAA
rnacentral:misc_RNA from 1 species